UUAGAUGCGUACACAAAAGAACGGGAAAAUCAAGAUUUCAAAUAUUGGGAAUCUUGGUCCAAGAAACCAAAUCUUGCAACCAAAGCGCAUUGGAUCUCCAUUACGAGCAUCAACGAUUCAAUUUCGGUAGGAGAUGGAUUACAAGCCCAAAUUCUUGAAGGCAAGGCCCAAUAAGCAAAUUCCUAGCCCAAUCAAGAAAUCUACCUAUACUUAGUUGAAAAUCAGGCCAAAUUGUCAAAGUGGCCCAAGUUGUAAAGUUUUAUUUUUUUAUUUACUUAGUUUAAAUUUUUAUAUUCAGUCCAAGAGUCCCAAAUAAAAGACCUUUGACUGAAUUUCCAUAUUAAAAUAAUUAGGAGUUUUUUUUAUUUUAGUUUUCUAAUUAGAUUAGGACUAGUUAUAAGGCCUAUUUAAAGGCAUGGCUGGCCAUCUUGUAAACAACUACUCAAAUAUAUUAAAAUUUCAGAUUUGUUUAAGUGUAGAAUUCUCUUUGAGUUUUUCUCCAGGAAUUCUCUCUUGGGUUUUCUUUAGAAGUUGUUUUAACAAUCUUUUGAUUGUGGGAGCCAUCUUCAACCUUCUUCUUGCCAUUGAUAUUCUUUGGAGGGGAGAUUAGAGCCGUUUGAAGGGAGUUGUGAGAUCUUUCGGGAUUUCAAGGCUUCUUAGGACUUAUCUUUUAAUUUCUUACUGUCAAUUCUUUCUUUAUUUCUGCUUGUGCUGAAUCAUUAUCUAAUUUGUUUUUUGUUUUUAUUGUGUUUUCAGCAUUUUUCUAUCUUAAGGAAUCAGCCCAAAAAUCCCCAAAUUCUAGGGUUCUUCCAUACUCUUUUUGGGUGAAAUUAGAUUGUCGAAAUUUGGGCAAAACUAUCUUGGUGUUCAAUUGGGCAGAAUCGCAAUCUCCUUUAGGGUUUCAAGAACCCUUAUUAACACUUAUUUCUAUUCUCAAUUUGAUUCUUUGCUGAUUUGGGGAUUUUAUUUCAG
rnacentral:lncRNA from 1 species